rnacentral:misc_RNA from 1 species
CUAUCCAAUCCUAGCACGCUCUGCGCAGCCACGACCACGAGCUGCGGCCGCCGAACAUCUCGUCGAGGACGAUGACAAGCCCCAUGGCGAGCGGCGCGCCGAAGCGGGGACUGACCACCAGCCUGAACACGUCGUCGCCGACGGCCUCCUUGCGCCGGACCUCGGCCACGACGUCGCCGCGCGCGUCGCGCACGGCGCAGUCACGCCGGCCGUACGACCCCUCGACCACGAACGCCUCCUGGGCGGCCGAGGAGGGCGCGAAGACAUGCGCCAGCGUCUUCCCGCCGGAGGCGCGGAGACCGACGUGGCGGUGGACGGAGAGGAGAGGGCGACGCGGCUGCGGCUGCGGUUGCGUGGUGCCGGCGCCGUCUUCGUAGAUGAGCCAGCGCUCCGCCAGGCUGAGCCUCUUGCGGUGGAGCGUGAGCAGCGGCGCCCCUGCGGCGUCCAUGAGCGCGACCUCGGCGCGCCGGCGGGAGGUGGCGUAGCAGUCGACACGGAAGGCGAGGUCUCCCCGGGCGUCGUACACGGUGAAGCCGUCGCAGUUGAAGAGCAGCGACUUGCGCCAUACCGUCAGCACCGUCGGCGGUUCAGGUUGUUGGUCGCCGGCAGCGGCUCGGGUGGCGGGCUCUGCCGCGACGGCUGCGCUGUUUGGGUAGACCUUGGCCAUUACUCUGCUUGGGCCUCUCCUCUGCUUCUUGGGACUUGGGAUUGCUUGAUCGAGAGGUGGGAGAAUUUAUACCAGACGACGAGUGGCAUGCGUUGCGUUGGUGGCUGGGCUUCCCGUUGGGCGGAAGCGGCGGAUCUCGCCGCCCCGGCCUCUGUCUGCUCUCCUCCUGGAUGCCAUGCCGGAAUACCAAAACUCCUGGCUAGCUAGCUAGCUGGUGAUUCAUAGGCAUCCGCCUAGCAUUUCGGUGGAAGAACUGAUUCUUGGCCAACCCACACCGCAUACCGACUAGCCGAUGUAAUAAUGGUCCAUGCACUCAACGUACAAAGUUAUAUUCUCAGUUGAUAAUGGCCGGUCGGCAAAAAUAAAGCAAUCCAACAAAACAAAACUUAUGGCAUAACCGAAAAACAUUUGUGGAGAGAGUAAAGCCGUUCCCGUUGGAAAAUAUGUAUACUAAACACCAACAUAUCUACGUACUAUAUUGUAGGUCUCCUUCUUUUGAACAUCCUCAAAACAAACUAGUUAUUCUAUUUUAUUUAAUAAGGAUACUACAUCACUACCGGAAUCAAUAGCUUCGCCGAGUGCCGGAAGCACUCGGCGAAGCCUUAAAAACACUCGGCAAAGGCUUUGCCGAGUGUAACACUCGGCAAAGAAGGCUCGGCAAACAGUGCAUCGGCAAAGACUUCUUUGCCGAGUACUUUUUCUCGGGCACUCGGCAAAUAUCUUUGCCGAGUGUCAGGGAGCACUCGGCAAAGAAAAGCGACCGUUACGGCGCCGGUUGACGGAGACGGCGGCUUUGCCGAGUGUCAACGGUGACACUCGGCAACGAAGAUAUCUUUGCCGAGUGUCCUCCUGGC